rnacentral:rRNA from 1 species
AGGGCACGCCUGCCUGGGCGUCACGCAAACGACGCUCCGCCCCCUUCGCCCUUUGGGCGGGCGGCAGACGCGGACGAUGGCCCUCCGCGCCCACGGACGCGGUGGGCUGAAGCAUGGGCCGUCGGCAGGGACCGAGACACGGCGAGUGGUGGACGUAUCUUCACGCGAGCCGGACGUCGUGCCUUAGGCGCCCUUCGAGGAAGGCCCUCCGGACCCUUUUAACCGAGGCGCUUGCCGUCAUCGGACCGCGACCCCAGGUCAGGCGGGACUACCCGCUGAGUUUAAGCAUAUAAAUAAGCGGAGGAGAAGAAACUUACAAGGAUUCCCCUAGUAACGGCGAGCGAACCGGGAACUGCCCAGCUUGAGAAUCGGACGGCUUCGUCGUUCGA